rnacentral:lncRNA from 1 species
GAAGAAGGAAAGAACAAAAUCAGGGUUUUGGGGUUUCGAAAAAUGAAAAAUACGGGAAGCUUUGAGAAAUGUGGAAUUUGAAUUCGCUAAAAUCACCAAAAUGCUCUCAGAGUAACAGAGACUGUGUUGAAGCUGAUUUUUAGAAGAACAUAGUAAACAUCAAUACCCUAGUUUUGAAUUUGGGAAUUGCAGAACCCUAGUUUU